CUGCAUAAAAAACAGAAUAUGGAGAUUCAAUAAGGGGCAUGGAUUCCUAGAGGGAGAGAUUUCAGACCACACACCAUUGAGAGACGAUUGCAGAGGGUCGAGACAGAGGCACCAUCACUUUGAGAAGACAAGAUCAACACGCACUAAGGGGAAACUGGGCAGAGAAGGGAGAACCAAAAGAGUGUUUUGAGGUAUGGCUACUUUAGGUCCUCUGUUUUUCUUGAUUGCUGUAUAAGUCUUCAUCUUUUCUUGCUACUUAUAGGCAUUGCUUCCUUGGUUUGGUUAUGGAUAUUAGGUCGUAUGCUUGUUUUUAGUUUAGUCCUAGGUUGUCCAUAGUUUCUGAUAUUGCUAGUUCAUAUUUUGUUCGUAUGGUUCUGCUUGUAGGUAGCUUGCCUUUGUCGUGUUUCUGCAGAAAAUUUUACCACUGUUACUAUUUUCUUUGAAUCUACUUUGAUGUCUCACCUGACCUUUGGGUCCAUUGAUGAAAUAAUGAGAUGUGGCUUCAAUUUGUUUCCCUUUUGUUUGUUUGCUUUCUUUUUGUUCAUCUUGGUUUUUCCUUCAUUUCCAUUUCUGGUUCUUCCUUUUUAUAUGAGUUGGAAUUUCGAGAAGACAUGGUUAAGGGACCCUGUGAUAGAGGGAGCUUAAGAGAGAUGGAGUUGCUAAUCUCAGGAAUGCAAUCACUAUUGACUUCUACUUCCAGAUGUGUUAUGAUGAUCAUCCACUUUGUGGAUUCAUUGGCAAAGUUAAAGAUGAGAGUUGGAUCGUUAAUGAAGAUGGCCCGAAGUAUUACCCAUUCAAAAUCAUUCAGUCUGAUGCUUUUUACAGUGGCAACCAAGUCAUAGGAAUACAUGCUCUCAGUGAUCCAAAUCAUGUUGUGGAUAUGACAAAGAAUGUUGAAAUCUGGGUUAAAAUUCAUUUAUUCUAUCUUUUAGGAGGAGACCUGUCACGACCCAAAUUCCUGGUGACCCAAAAUUUGGCCCGUGACCCCAGGUCAAAGAUUUGACCCUAAGGGUUUCUCCUAUUCCAAGUUGGCAGUCAACUAAAACACUCUGAAUUUUUUUUUUUUUUCACAUAUAAGUCCCACUAGGUUCUCACCAACUAACAAUAUUUCAAACUUUACUCAAACACAUCAAGAUUUAAUAAACAUCAUUGCAUUCCAAAAUAAAAUUUCAUAAAAAUCCCCUUAAUCAAAUUAAGGUCUUAUUACAUUAUUCAUAAUUCACUUAUUACAAGGUCUCAAUACCACAAACACAAUAAAAAAUAAAACACAUUCCACUAAACCGCUCCAGGGGCAUCCUGAAGUCCUCCCUAUCCCACUUGUGGAUCCUUAGGAGUGAUAUCUGCAUCUAAAAAGACAUAAAAAAGAAGGGGUGAGCAUUUCCACAUUGCUCAGUAGGGUGCCUAACACCCAAAGGGUUAAUGGGGGAUUACUAUAUUUCAAUAACCCAAACACAACAGUUUACCAAUAUAAAUCAAGUCACACAAUUUAACAUAUAACAUUAUACUCAAUCCCACAACAUCCAAUCAUUAAAUGAAUGCAUAUGAAUGUGUGACACACAGUCAUACAAUGCACUAUCGUUCUCGAGCUUUCACCGAAGGAUACGCGUCCGCACCCAAAUAUACUCCCCAUUCGGAGUCUUCCCGAGGUAAACUUUUGGGUCUUUCACCCUAGGGAUCUCUUUCCCUUCUUAAUUCGCCUCACACGGGCUUUCACUUUUCAUCACUAUUUUAUUUUUUUCCAUUUCAUACACUUUUCACAAUUUUUUUUUCUUCAUACAACCAUGAUGCAAGUGAAUGCUACAAAAUCCAAAAUUCCUCAAUAAUUUCUACAAUUCCAAUAAUUCCAACAUUCUCAAUAACCCAAUAAAAUAAAAUUUUCACAUUAAAAUUCCCGAAAAUACACCAAAAAAUUUUCGAAAAUUCACACAUCAAUAUACAUGAAUUUAUAUCACAAUUUCCGAAUUUUUCAAUAAUUAUAAUAAUUCCCAAUAUUUGAAAAUAACUAAUUUUCCACAAAAAAAUUACCGCAAAUAUUCCAAUCAAUUUUCAAAAAUUCAUAAAUCACUAGAUUUGAAAUCUUGUACUAAUUCCGGAAUUUUCCUAUAUUUCUAAUAAUUUUUAACAACCUAAAACGAUUAAUUAUCAAUUACAAAGAAUUCCGGAAAUUUCAAAAAAAUCCAGAAAAAAAUCUCAAAUCAUUCCAGAAAAUUCACACAACAUCAAAAUUAUCUACUUAACUCAUAAUUAUCAGAUUUAUAAUUUUUUUCCAAUGAAAAAUACAUUAAAUUUGAGUUUUAGGGUUAGUUUUCCCCUACCACAAAUCUGAGAAGUUGAUCGUUAAAAAUGAAAUCAGCCACCGUAGACUUGUUCCUCUAGUCGAAUAGAGCACUUCCUCCGAAUUUGGGCCGAAACGGAGGUCGUUUGGCCGUCCAAACGGCCGGUCAAAGAUUCGGUGAGUGACCAAAUUUCUGCACAGUGACCUUCUCUCUCUCCCUGCGUGCUGCCAGUUUUUAAUUCUUCCCCUUUUCCUUUUUUUUUUUUUUUUUUCUUUUUUACUAACCCUCCAGCCACACAAGCCUGGCCCAAAGUUCAAAAGCCCAACCCAUUUUUCUCUUUUUUUUAAAAAAAAUUCACCAGCCACUUAAGCCCAAAACCAAAGGCCCAAUUUCAUUUCAUUUCUUUUUAACAAUCCAUACUACCUUUACAUGACCCAAGUUUAAUAGUCCAUUGAAUAUUUUCAUUUCUUUUCUUUUGUUUUACUUUUCUUUUGUUUAUUCUAUUUGUUUUAUUUGAUUUCCAAUUCUUUUUUUUUUAACACACAAAUUUAUUUAUUAACACCAAUCUAAAACUAAUUUUCUCAAUUUUAUUAUUCAUCAAUUUAAUUUAAUCUUUCUUAAUUAAUUCUAAUUAAUUUUUAAUUAAUUCAUUUUUUUUCUUUGUUUUUGUUUUUCGUUUCCGGAAAUUUUCAAUUUCUAAAAUCUUAAGAAAUUUUCUACCCUAAGGGUGACAUGGCAUAAAAUUUCAACUCGUCUAAUUGAUCGACACAAUAAAAUGAAAUUCACUAAUCCGAAAUUGACACGUGUUCUCCAAAAACUUUUCUUUUUGACUUUUCAACCAUCACACAAAACAAGACUUUUCAAACUAAAAAUACUAACAUGUCAUAAAAUAUCCGGUCAUUACAAGACCUCUGCAUAGCUUGAGAACAUAAUGGACAAAUAUUGAAAGGCUUCAUAAUUCCCAACACACCAGUAAAUUGGUGGGUUUCUCUUGAAGAUGAUGUCUGGUGUCUUCUAGGCUCUGCAGCGUUUGCAUUAUUCUGCUUCUACCUUCUGCUUGCAGUGAUCUUAAGGGCUAUGAUGCUUGAAUGGCAUAUUUCUCAUUUGGAUGCUUUGUUGUAAAAUGCAGAAAUUAUAUGGAGCUUGGAGUCACAAUGGAGGCCUGUUGUUUGCUUUGAGUUUGAUCACCAUAGCCUUGUUUCCAUUGCUUGUGGUAGAGUCUGUAUCUCUUUGA
rnacentral:lncRNA from 1 species